rnacentral:rRNA from 1 species
GACGUAGGGCGCGAGCGUUGUCCGGAUUUAUUGGGCGUAAAGAGCUCGUAGGCGGCUUGUCGCGUCGACUGUGAAAUCCCGCGGCUCAACUGCGGGUCUGCAGUCGAUACGGGCAGGCUAGAGUUCGGUAGGGGAGACUGGAAUUCCUGGUGUAGCGGUGAAAUGCGCAGAUAUCAGGAGGAACACCGGUGGCGAAGGCGGGUCUCUGGGCCGAUACUGACGCUGAGGAGCGAAAGCAUGGGUAGCGAACAGG